AAGGUGGGGAUGACGUCAAAUCAUCAUGCCCCUUAUGACCUGGGCUACACACGUGCUACAAUGGAUGGUACAAAGGGUAGCGAAGCCGCGAGGUGGAGCCAAUCCCAUAAAACCAUUCUCAGUUCGGAUUGUAGGCUGCAACUCGCCUACAUGAAGCCGGAAUCGCUAGUAAUCGUGGAUCAGCAUGCCACGGUGAAUACGUUCCCGGGCCUUGUACACACCGCCCGUCACACCACGAGAGUUUGUAACACCCGAAGUCGGUAGGGUAACCUUUAUGGAGCCAGCCGCCGAAGGUGGGACAGAUAAUUGGGGUGAAGUCGUAACAAGGUAGCCGUAUCGGAAGGUGCGGCUGGAUCACCUCCUUUCUAAGGAA
rnacentral:rRNA from 1 species